GGACAGACCGGUCCGCCUCAAACCCUAAUACGGAAGAAUCAACAAAAUGGAGUUCGUCUUUCCUCUGCGUACGGCGACUUCGUGACUUCGUGACGUUUGCGCUUCUUCAAUGUGUCGUUUAGAUCUGCAAGACGGUGUGUUUUCGGUAUAAAUAUGUGUGUUUCUCUUCUUGAACUCAUCCUUUCUUCUCCGAUUUGAAGUCUGACAAGAAAUUUUUUCUCCGAUUUGAAGACAGGCUAAACUUGCUCUAGAGGCUCUUGAAGUUCCUGUGGGGAUGUGUCAUUCUUGAGGAGGGUAACAUCGUUGCUUCAGGGCGUAACCGAAAUAAUGAGACAUGCAAUAGAGGCCACAAGACAUGUAGAGAUGGAAGCAAUCGAUGAACUUAUUGGACAAUGGCAAAAAGAUAGACUUUCACCUUCACAAGUCGCUGAGAAAUUCUCGAAAUGCGUUCUUUACGUAACAUGUGAACCUUGCAUAAUGUGUGCAUCGACCUUAUCCUUCCUCGGUAUAAAGGUAGUAUAUUAUGCAUGCGGAAAUGAUAAAUUUGGGGGUUGUGGUUCCGUAUUGUUGCUUCACUUAGAGAGUUCUCAGACAUAAGAUAUCCUUUGUAGACCCUAAAGAUCACACUACAAACUUAUUAGAAAAAAUCAGCCUUAUUAAUUGAAGUCUGUGAUCUCUGUUUUUUUUUAUAGUGAAGAAGCUCAAAGAGGAAAAGGGUACAAGUGCAGAGGAAUAAUGGCAGACGAAGCUGUAUCUCUUUUCAAAUGUUUCUAUGAGAGGAAUCCAUACAUUUUAGCCCCAAAGCCACACCGCCCUGUAGUUCAAAGAGAGAGGACUUAGCAUCUUAGAGGCGAACUUGGUUUGAAAAUUGGAGUUUCUGAUUAAAAUAUGAAGAAGUUGAGGUGGAGGUUGUCAAAUGAUGAUUCUAUGUUUUUUUGCUACAUUUGGCACAUGAAACGUUAUCAGUUACAUCCAAAACAUUUGUAUAUCCGCCUAAGUUGGAGAUCUCAAUCUCAAGCUACUAAGUUGGUUUUAUUAGUUGUCUGUGACUGUAACGUUUUCUUCUUGUACGGGUAGAUGAUAGACAUGACCAUCAUUAGAAGAAUAAAAGAUUAACUAUGUUUUUAUCUU